UCGUUUGCUGAAAUUCUAAAUAGUCGCAACUUUGGCCCUAUGAGAUUGCUGCAAUUAGGUUGAAACAUUCACUCACCUUCUAUUCUCGAAUUAGGUUGUACGCAAUUCACUCACCUUCAAUUCUCACCCAAUUAUGCAGAUUUAGAUCGCAUUCAAAAAAAAAAAAAAACCAGUGAAACCUAUGUUUUGCGAUUCUCCAUAGGCAAUUUCUUCCCCCUUCUACACAAAUCUUACCCCCAUUAACUCCCUUCUUCAUCUUUGGUCUGCUCCUUCGCCGCGCGGCCAUCGGAAAAGUUUCUUGCUCUCAACUCCGUGAACCCUGUUGUAGAAAAUUGGAGGGAGAAAGAUGGAUUUAUCUAGGCUUUCCCUGCAAAUAUCCGAAAUUGAGGGAAAGACAAGACUAGAUGAAGGGCAAGCUAGCACUGAUGGAGAAACUCGGAUUUUUUGGUUGAAUUUUAUUGCAAUGAUGAUGUAUGAUGCAUAUCAGACGGUCGUGCAAAGUAUAAUGAACUUGGGAUUUGUGCAUUGGUGAUAUGCUAAGGGUUUUCAAAGAUAUUCGGAGAAGCCAGAGCUAUUUCAUCCUUGUUACUACCUCCAUUUCAGAAAGUUCUUUACGCUUAGGAAAAUGUGUCCAAAGUAUAAAAACUUUGACAGUAAAUUCUCACCAUUAUAUACAUCAAAACGUUACUGGCUUACGAAACGGUCUUUGGAUGAUACAGAACUCAACCAAGUGAAGGCUGAAAGCAACCAUGAUAUGAAGAAAUCAUUAACUUGGUGGGAUCUUACUUGGUUCGGUAUUGGUGCUGGUAUCUUUGUACUUACUGGUCAAGAGGCUAAUCAAGAUGCUGGUCCUGCUGUUAUUUUAUCUUUUACUGUUUCCGGUGUCUCUGCUAUGCUCUCUGUUUUAUGUUACACCUAGUUUGCUGUUGAGAUCCCUGUUGCAGGGUUAUGUACAAAGAGAAAUGCCAUAUUCUGAUGAGGAGUUAGAAGAAACUCGAGAACAAUGGGCAAAGUAUUUUAAGGACAACUAUUUGAUGGAUGCAGGCGAAUGAGUUUGUUGUCUAGUAAUGUUAUGUUUUAUGUUUUUGUUAUGUGUUGGAUAUGACGUUGGAUGCUACUUGGAGCAUAUAUAUUGUUUUGGAACAUAUAUGUAUGUUAUGUCUUAUAUACAAGUCUUUAUAAAUUCCCGUUCUGUCCGGGUUUCUCAAA